rnacentral:rRNA from 1 species
UCAUCUCCGGGGGUAGAGCACUGUUUCGGCAAGGGGGUCAUCCCGACUUACCAACCCGAUGCAAACUGCGAAUACCGGAGAAUGUUAUCACGGGAGACACACGGCGGGUGCUAACGUCCGUCGUGAAGAGGGAAACAACCCAGACCGCCAGCUAAGGUCCCAAAGUCAUGGUUAAGUGGGAAACGAUGUGGGAAGGCCCAGACAGCCAGGAUGUUGGCUUAGAAGCAGCCAUCAUUUAAAGAAAGCGUAAUAGCUCACUGGUCGAGUCGGCCUGCGCGGAAGAUGUAACGGGGCUAAACCAUGCACCGAAGCUGCGGCAGCGACGCUGAUGCGUUGUUGGGUAGGGGAGCGUUCUGUAAGCCUGUGAAGGUGUACUGUGAGGUAUGCUGGAGGUAUCAGAAGUGCGAAUGCUGACAUAAGUAACGAUAAAGCGGGUGAAAAGCCCGCUCGCCGGAAGACCAAGGGUUCCUGUCCAACGUUAAUCGGGGCAGGGUGAGUCGACCCCUAAGGCGAGGCCGAAAGGCGUAGUCGAUGGGAAACAGGUUAAUAUUCCUGUACUUGGUGUUACUGCGAAGGGGGGACGGAGAAGGCUAUGUUGGCCGGGCGACGGUUGUCCCGGUUUAAGCGUGUAGGCUGGUUUUCCAGGCAAAUCCGGAAAAUCAAGGCUGAGGCGUGAUGACGAGGCACUACGGUGCUGAAGCAACAAAUGCCCUGCUUCCAGGAAAAGCCUCUAAGCAUCAGGUAACAUCAAAUCGUACCCCAAACCGACACAGGUGGUCAGGUAGAGAAUACCAAGGCGCUUGAGAGAACUCGGGUGAAGGAACUAGGCAAAAUGGUGCCGUAACUUCGGGAGAAGGCACGCUGAUAUGUAGGUGAAGUCCCUUGCGGAUGGAGCUGAAAUCAGUCGAAGAUACCAGCUGGCUGCAACUGUUUAUUAAAAACACAGCACUGUGCAAACACGAAAGUGGACGUAUACGGUGUGACGCCUGCCCGGUGCCGGAAGGUUAAUUGAUGGGGUCAGCGCAAGCGAAGCUCUUGAUCGAAGCCCCGGUAAACGGCGGCCGUAACUAUAACGGUCCUAAGGUAGCGAAAUUCCUUGUCGGGUAAGUUCCGACCUGCACGAAUGGCGUAAUGAUGGCCAGGCUGUCUCCACCCGAGACUCAGUGAAAUUGAACUCGCUGUGAAGAUGCAGUGUACCCGCGGCAAGACGGAAAGACCCCGUGAACCUUUACUAUAGCUUGACACUGAACAUUGAGCCUUGAUGUGUAGGAUAGGUGGGAGGCUUUGAAGUGUGGACGCCAGUCUGCAUGGAGCCGACCUUGAAAUACCACCCUUUAAUGUUUGAUGUUCUAACGUUGACCCGUAAUCCGGGUUGCGGACAGUGUCUGGUGGGUAGUUUGACUGGGGCGGUCUCCUCCUAAAGAGUAACGGAGGAGCACGAAGGUUGGCUAAUCCUGGUCGGACAUCAGGAGGUUAGUGCAAUGGCAUAAGCCAGCUUGACUGCGAGCGUGACGGCGCGAGCAGGUGCGAAAGCAGGUCAUAGUGAUCCGGUGGUUCUGAAUGGAAGGGCCAUCGCUCAACGGAUAAAAGGUACUCCGGGGAUAACAGGCUGAUACCGCCCAAGAGUUCAUAUCGACGGCGGUGUUUGGCACCUCGAUGUCGGCUCAUCACAUCCUGGGGCUGAAGUAGGUCCCAAGGGUAUGGCUGUUCGCCAUUUAAAGUGGUACGCGAGCUGGGUUUAGAACGUCGUGAGACAGUUCGGUCCCUAUCUGCCGUGGGCGCUGGAGAACUGAGGGGGGCUGCUCCUAGUACGAGAGGACCGGAGUGGACGCAUCACUGGUGUUCGGGUUGUCAUGCCAAUGGCACUGCCCGGUAGCUAAAUGCGGAAGAGAUAAGUGCUGAAAGCAUCUAAGCACGAAACUUGCCCCGAGAUGAGUUCUCCCUGACUCCUUGAGAGUCCUGAAGGAACGUUGAAGACGACGACGUUGAUAGGCCGGGUGUGUAAGCGCAGCGAUGCGUUGAGCUAACCGGUACUAAUGAACCGUGAGGCUUAACCUU